GUCCACGCCGUAAACGGUGGGAACUAGGUGUGGGCCACAUUCCACGUGGUCUGUGCCGCAGCUAACGCAUUAAGUUCCCCGCCUGGGGAGUACGGCCGCAAGGCUAAAACUCAAAGGAAUUGACGGGGGCCCGCACAAGCGGCGGAGCAUGUGGCUUAAUUCGAUGCAACGCGAAGAACCUUACCUGGGUUUGACAUGCAGGGAAAUCUGGUAGAGAUACCAGGUCCGCAAGGGCCUUGCACAGGUGGUGCAUGGCUGUCGU
rnacentral:rRNA from 1 species